GAACCUUUCUCAGGUCAGUCAUAAGGUAGU
rnacentral:piRNA from 1 species